AUACGUAGGGCGCGAGCGUUGUCCGGAUUUAUUGGGCGUAAAGAGCUCGUAGGCGGUUUGUCGCGUCUGCUGUGAAAUCCUCUGGCUUAACUGGGGGCGUGCAGUGGGUACGGGCAGACUGGAGUGCGGUAGGGGAGACUGGAAUUCCUGGUGUAGCGGUGGAAUGCGCAGAUAUCAGGGGGAACACCGGUGGCGAAGGCGGGUCUCUGGGCCGUUACUGACGCUGAGGAGCGAAAGCAUGGGGAGCGAACAGGAUUAGAUACCCUGGUAGUCCAUGCCGUAAACGUUGGGAACUAGGUGUGGGGUCCAUUCCACGGGUCCUGUGCCGUAGCUAACGCAUUAAGUUCCCCGCCUGGGGAGUACGGCCGCAAGGCUAAA
rnacentral:rRNA from 1 species